rnacentral:rRNA from 1 species
UACGGAGGGUCCAAGCGUUAUCCGGAAUCAUUGGGCUUAAAGGGUGCGUAGGCGGUUUAGUAAGUCAGUGGUGAAAGCCCAUCGCUCAACGGUGGAACGGCCAUUGAUACUGCUAGACUUGAAUUAUUAGGAAGUAACUAGAAUAUGUAGUGUAGCGGUGAAAUGCUUAGAUAUUACAUGGAAUACCAAUUGCGAAGGCAGGUUACUACUAAUUGAUUGACGCUGAUGGACGAAAGCGUGGGUAGCGAACAGG